rnacentral:rRNA from 1 species
ACGCUCGACACCUACGGAGGCAGCAGUGGGGGAUAUUGCACAAUGGGGGGAAACCCUGAUGCAGCAACGCCGCGUGAAGGAAGACGGUUUUCGGAUUGUAAACUUCUGUUCUUAGUGACGAUAAUGACGGUAGCUAAGGAGAAAGCUCCGGCUAACUACGUGCCGGCAGCCGCGGUAAUCUGAGGCGGGCUGGCAAGGC